GGUGGUAAUGCCGGAUGUUCCACAUGAUCGCAUGUGAUUGUGGGAAAGAUUCUAUCGGCGUGGGAUGGGGUCGCGUCCUAUCAGCUUGUUGGUGAGGUAACGGCUCACCAAGGCUUCGACGGGUAGCCGGCCUGAGAGGGCGACCGGCCACAUUGGGACUGAGAUACGGCCCAGACUCCUACGGGAGGCAGCAGUGGGGAAUAUUGCACAAUGGGCGCAAGCCUGAUGCAGCGACGCCGCGUGAGGGAUGGAGGCCUUCGGGUUGUAAACCUCUUUUGUUUGGGAGCAAGCCUUCGGGUGAGUGUACCUUUCGAAUAAGCGCCGGCUAACUACGUGCCAGCAGCCGCGGUAAUACGUAGGGCGCAAGCGUUAUCCGGAUUUAUUGGGCGUAAAGGGCUCGUAGGCGGCUCGUCGCGUCCGGUGUGAAAGUCCAUCGCUUAACGGUGGAUCUGCGCCGGGUACGGGCGGGCUGGAGUGCGGUAGGGGAGACUGGAAUUCCCGGUGUAACGGUGGAAUGUGUAGAUAUCGGA
rnacentral:rRNA from 1 species